GGUGAGAUGGCCGAGCGGUCUAAGGCGCCAGACUAAGGAGACCAAUGCAUUUGAUGCGUUCUGAAAUCUGGUCACAUUGUGGCGUGGGUUCGAAUCCCACUCUCAUCA
rnacentral:tRNA from 1 species